CUUAAAAACAUGUUCGUCUCUUUCUCACGCUGUGACUCUCUGUCUGCGACUGUCUCUGUCUCUCGCAUCUGCCCAGCUCUCUCUCUCUCUCUCUCUUUCGCUUUUGUCUCCAUCGCCGUUGGUACAGGAGCACCAUCGGCGUCGACGCCCGUCGCACAUGAGGACCAUCGCAAACCAACAGCCUAUAUCAUCUUAUCUCGUAGUCACGAUCCAUCAUUGGGGCACUAGCCAAGCAUUUCAGGUUCUUCAGUUAUGGACUGCUCCUCUGUAGUGCAGCAGAGCUCCAAUCAAGACCCAAGCUCCCAACAGGUGCCACAAAGUAAGCAGCAGCAAGGGGCUUCCAGUGCUACAUCGUUGCCCACGUCAAGAAUGGGCCAAGUUUCACUUCUCCCUGGCCCACAUGUCCCUGGCUCUUUCAUACAGGAUCCCAAUAAUAUAGCCCAGCUGCAGAAAAAACCCCGAUUGGAAAUCAAGCAGGAAGACAUUAUGCAACAGCAGGUUCUGCAACAACUACUGCAGCGACAGGAAUCCAUGCAAUUACAAACCCACAAUCCUCAGUUGCAAGCUUUAAUUUAGCAGCAGAGAAUGCGGCAACAGCAGCAACAGUUUCUGCAGUCUAUACCACCAGUGCAGCGAGCUCACAUACUGCAACAACAUCAACAGCAGCAGCAGCAGCAGCAGCAGCUGCAGUUGAGACAACAACUUCAACAACAGGGUAUGCAGCCUAUGUCUUCCAUAAAGCGGCCCAGUGAUAAUGGUGUAUGUUCUUGUCGGCUAAUGCAAUAUUUAUAUCAUCAGCGGCAACGACCCCCUACCCAUACUAUUGCCUACUGGAGGAAGUUUGUCGCAGAGUACUACUCCCCGCGUGCAAAGAAAAGAUGGUGCUUGUCAUUAUAUGAUAAUGUUGGUCAUCAUUCGCUAGGUGUUUUCCCCCAGGCAACCAUGAUUGGAAAAAUUGGGACCUUUAGAGUGGGACAAGGUAGUACAUGGACAUGAAGCAUGGAGACUUAUCACUUGUAUCUGGUUGCAUGCUGGUGUUAUUCAUCUGCUAGCAAACAUGUUGAGCUUGGUAUUUAUUGGGAUCCGAUUUGAACAGCAAUUUGGGUUUGUGCGAGUUGGGGCAAUCUUCCUGUUGUCAGGAUUUGGUGGGAGCAUACUCUCUGCCCUUCUCAUUCAACACAGAAUUUCUUGUGGUGCUUCUGGUGCUCUAUUUGGACUUCUUGGAGCGAUGCUAUCUGAGCUACUUACUAAUUGGACUAUUUAUACCAAUAAGAUGGAUUAUCUCGUGCACAAAGCUAAAUUGUACAUGACUGAUUGGCACUAUAAGCUUUUUUUGAAAGGAAUAUAUAUUUUUGGAUAGAUGUGUAUGGAAAAGAUUUGGGUGGACUAGUAGUUAUAUUUUUGGAAAGACUAGUAGUUAUAUUUUUUGGAUGAAUGUGUAUGGAAAAUAUUUGGAUAGACUACUAGUGUGUAUAUUUUUUGAUAGAUGCGCAUGGAUAACAAUUUAAAACAUAAUAACAACUAAUUGUUAUGUUUUAAAUUAUUAUGUUAGAUGGAUGUGACUUGGAUGAUUAUAUAGAUUACAAGUGGAUUUUUAAUUGGAGGAAUAUGUAGUUUGAA